GAUGAACGCUGGCGGCGUGCCUAAUACAUGCAAGUCGAGCGAACAGACGAGGAGCUUGCUCCUCUGACGUUAGCGGCGGACGGGUGAGUAACACGUGGAUAACCUACCUAUAAGACUGGGAUAACUUCGGGAAACCGGAGCUAAUACCGGAUAAUAUAUUGAACCGCAUGGUUCAAUAGUGAAAGACGGUUUUGCUGUCACUUAUAGAUGGAUCCGCGCCGCAUUAGCUAGUUGGUAAGGUAACGGCUUACCAAGGCAACGAUGCGUAGCCGACCUGAGAGGGUGAUCGGCCACACUGGAACUGAGACACGGUCCAGACUCCUACGGGAGGCAGCAGUAGGGAAUCUUCCGCAAUGGGCGAAAGCUUGACGGAGCAACGCCGCGUGAGUGAUGAAGGUCUUCGGUUCGUAAAACUCUGUUAUUAGGGAAGAACAAAUGUGUAAGUAACUAUGCACGUCUUGACGGUACCUAAUCAGAAAGCCACGGCUAACUACGUG
rnacentral:rRNA from 1 species